UUUGUAUCCUUGUUGAGGUCAUUUCAGAUUUGACUAGAAUUUAAUUUUCUUUGUGGAGAAUCCCAUGGAAAAUGACCAAACUCUGUUCCAGGAGCUCAAGGUCACGAUGCACCAGCUAACUUGCCUUAUCUCAAUUAAAAGCCUUGCCCAUACAGAAGCUCUUCCAGUUAACUACUUACCUUCACUUUUGUUAAACUACUUGCUUCAUUGAUGCUCUCAUGCAGCUUGCUGAGUGAGAAAAGUCAGGAGCUGCUCUGGACAUUUGACUAAUACCUGAGUGCAAUUCCAGUUGGUUGGAUAAAAGCCUUCAAUUGGGUAAUCAAAUGUGUCCAAGUGGUCAAAUCUGAUGGGCUUCCUGUGACAUUGAGACAGACUUGAGAUAGGUAAUUGCAUGAAGAAAAAGCACUAAUAAACCCAUCCUAUCCCAUCAAAAUAUCUUUCUAGUUCUACAAGUUAGUGAUGCACCAAAAAAUUAUAAGAAGAGUUCCCUGAAGACAAAACCACAAAGCAAACCCAACAAAAAAAUUAUACCAAUGACAGGAGGCAAAUGAGAAUAGAGAGCCCAGACAUGUUUUCUAGGCCUGACUCAGCUUGGCAUUCCAAAGCUUCCUGUUUUCUGUGAUGCCCUAGAGGCAGAACUAUGCAGAUGAAUGAACUCAACAUGCACGGAAGCUCUUGAUUUAUUGGGGCUUCUUAUAAAUUAUCUCGCUUGGAUAAUUUAUAAGAUAUGGAAACAAAGCAUUUGUUUUUUAUUUUCAAAAUUUUUUUAUUUUCAAAUUUUUACCACCUCUACUUACUUUAAACAAUACUCAAUAAAACUAAGAGAAAAACACAGCUCAGAAAUGUGAAAGCUAAGGAAACGCCAUGAUUGUGAUGCUAUUUCAAUAUCCUAAACCAAAGAUGCACAGGCCAGGGGAUGUCUACUUUUGACUUUUUUAUUAAAAGCUUUGUAUUCAUAUUAUUGUUAUUAUUAUUAUUGUCCCCAACUCCCCACCCCCUAUUUCCUCCCCACCAACCCUCCUACUCCCUGGGGGCUCAAAUAAGACCCAGAAGUCCUCUGCUAUAUAUGUGUUGGGGCCUCAUAUCAGCUGGGAUAUGUUGACCGGUUGGUGGCUUAGAGUCUGAGUAAUCUCACUGUGGGAGGGGCAGGUGAGUUGAGAUGCUGCUCUUCCAAUAGGCUUGCCCUCCUCCUCAGUUCCUUCCAUCUUUUCCCUAAUUCUACCACAGGGGUCAGCAGCUUCUUUCCAUUGAUUGGGUGUAAAUAUCUGUAUCUGAUUCUUUUAGGUGCGUGUUGGGCCUUUAGGAGUGCAGUCAUGCUGGACUCCUGUUUGGCUGUUGGAGAUAUGGGUGCAGCCAUGGAGAAUCCUUCAUGAGUACACCUUGGAAGGGUUCUGCUAUGGGGAUUUCACUCCAAAUACAAGGUUCCAUUCCUGAAGGAGGUCCUGUUUUGAAGGAAAGACAGGAGAAAAGCUGUUUCAUUUACCUAGAGGAAGAACAAUCACCACAUUUUUCAGGUUUGCGAACAUUUCUUCUGUGAUGGGAAAUUUUUGAAAAAUAAAAUUCAUUUUGCAAGUUAACAGCUGACUAAGACAGAUGAAGAUACAACCAACCAUUCGACUAAUGUCAUGGACCUCUAUGCUUGAAUUAGGGGAAGGAUAGAAGAAGACAAAGAGGAGGAAGACCCCAUAGGAAGACCAUCAGUCUCAAGCAAACUGGACUCCAGGGAGCUCCCAGACACUGAGCCACCAAGGAGGCAGCAUACAGGAUCUGGCCAAGGCCCCCAACACUUAUAUAGUAAAAGACUGCCUGGUCUGGUCUCAGUGGAAGAUGUGCCUAAUCCUCCAAAGACUUGAGGACCCUGAGAAUGGGGAGACCUGGUGGUGCGGGAGUAUCUGCUUGAAUACAGGAGCAGGGGAGGAGGAAUGGGAUGAAAAAUUGUAGGA